AUUGAACGCUAGCGGCAUGCCUAACACAUGCAAGUCGAACGAGUGGCGGACGGGUGAGUAAUAUAUGGGAAUGUGCCCGGUAGCGGGGGAUAACUACUGGAAAGGGUGGCUAAUACCGCAUACUAUUGGAGCCCCCCAUAUGGGAUUAGCUAGUUGGUGGGGUAAAGGCUCACCAAGGCCACGAUCCCUAGCUGGUGUGAGAGGACGAUCAGCCACACUGUGACGGAGACACGGCCCAGACUCCUACGGGAGGCAGCAGUGGGGAAUAUUGAACAAUGGGCGAAAGCCUGAUGCAGCCAUGCCGCGUGUAGGAAGAAGGCCUUAGGAUUGUAAAGUACUUUAAGUUGGGAGGCGUUACCAACAGAAUAAGCACCGGCUAACUCCGUGCCAGCCGCCGCGGUAAUAC
rnacentral:rRNA from 1 species